AGUAUUUAUAUAUCCGGAUAAAGUUCUCUAGUAAAUUCUGGAGAUCUUCGGUAUUUAAAUGUCAACAUCGAUUUGUUUAUUUAUUGCCUAGCUUAUCGUAACUGACUCAAUAACAAAUCUAAUCAUGUUGUGCACAGAGAAAAUAUUCUCAUUAUGUAUUUUCCUUACAUUAUAGUUAACAAUUGCGUUUGAAUUCAAGCUGUAAAUUCAAUAUUAUCAAGUAAUUACU
rfam:Picoides pubescens contig95867, whole genome shotgun sequence.